UGGGGAAUAUUGCACAAUGGGGGAAACCCUGAUGCAGCGACGCCGCGUGAGUGAAGAAGUAUUUCGGUAUGUAAAGCUCUAUCAGCAGGGAAGAAAAUGACGGUACCUGAGUAAGAAGCCCCGGCUAACUACGUGCCAGCAGCCGCGGUAAUACGUAGGGGGCAAGCGUUAUCCGGAUUUACUGGGUGUAAAGGGAGCGCAGACGGCUCUGCAAGUCUGAAGUGAAAGCCCGCGGCUUAACCGCGGGACUGCUUUGGAAACUGCAAGGCUUGAGUAUCGGAGGGGCAGGCGGAAUUCCUAGUGUAGCGGUGAAAUGCGUAGAUAUUAGGAAGAACACCGGUGGCGAAGGCGGCCUGCUGGACGAAAACUGACGUUGAGGCUCGAAGGCGUGGGGAGCAAACAGGAUUAGAUACCCUGGUAGUCCACGCCGUAAACGAUGAGUGCUAGGUGUUAGACCCUUUCCGGGGUUUAGUGCCGCAGCUAACGCAUUAAGCACUCCGCCUGGGGAGUACGACCGCAAGGUUG
rnacentral:rRNA from 1 species